UGCCAGUGACUUCAGGUUAAACGGCCGCGGUAUUCUGACCGUGCAAAGGUAGCGCAAUCACUUGUCUUUUAAAUGAAGACCAGUAUGAAUGGCAAGACGAGGGCUUAACUGUCUCCUCUUUCUAGUCAAUGAAAUUGAUCUCCCCGUGCAGAAGCGGGGAUACUAACAUAAGACGAGAAGACCCUAUGGAGCUUCAGACGAAAAGACAGUCCGUCCCCACUACCCUGGAUAAAGGACCCAGACGGCCCCUGUCUAGAUGUCUUCGGUUGGGGCGACCGCGGGGGAAUACAAAACCCCCAUGUGGACUGAGAGCACUCUUCCCCACUACCCACUGCUCUUAAAAACCAGAGGGACACCUCUAAUUAGCAGAACUUCUGACCUUAAAUGAUCCGGCUUAGGCCGAUCAACGAACCAAGUUACCCUAGGGAUAACAGCGCAAUCCUCUUUUAGAGCCCAUAUCGACAAGGGGGUUUACGACCUCGAUGUUGGAUCAGGACAUCCUAAUGGCGC
rnacentral:rRNA from 1 species